rnacentral:lncRNA from 1 species
GGGUCCUUGGGGUUGAGGUGGGGUCCUCGGGUACCUGUUGGGGUCCCUAUGGGGUCCUUGUUGUGUUCCCGGAUCCCUAUGAGGUCCUUGUUGUGUUUCUGUAUCCCUAUGGGGGGCUUAUGGGGUCCUUGUUUUGUCCCUGUAUCCCUAUGGGGUCCUUGUUGUGUCCCUAUUGCCCUGUGGGGUCCCUAUGGGGUCCUUGUUGUGAUCCCCUAUCCCUAUGGGGUCCUUGUUGUGUCCAUAUAUUCCUAUGGGAGGGCUUAUGGGGUCCUUGUUGUGUCCCCGUAGCCCUAUGGGGUCCUUUUUGUGUCCCUAUAGCCCUGCGGGGUCCUUUUGGGGUCCUUCUUGCAGCCCCAUAUCCCUUUGGGGUCCUUCUUGCAGCCCCAUAUGUACCUGUGGGGGUAUAGGGUCCCUAUGGGGUCCUCCUAUGCCUGCCGUGCCCCUAUGGGGUCC